CCGCAUACACGCAAUUCCCGGAUUUCAAAAACAUGGAGGCAUUGGCCGCGGGAAAUCUGACCGGCUCGCAGCGAGAUGAGUUAAUGCAGCAAGUGAAGCAGCAAAUAGCGGUCGCCAAUGCCCAGGAACUGCUCACGAAAAUCACGGAAAAGUGCUUCAAAAAAUGCAUAGGCAAGCCGGGUACCUCGCUGGAUAGCUCGGAACAGAAUAUAUAUUUCUAUUGCGUACAACGGAAAGAAAUGCAUAGCAAUGUGCAUGGAUCGAUACAUGGACUCGUUUAAUCUUGUAUCAAAGACGUACAGUGAACGGCUCCAGAGGGAGCGCAACAGAAUGCAAUCCAUAUCUAGACGGACGAUUUCCUGAUAUUGUUACAACACUAUAUCAGUAACUUUAUAUAAAUGAGGUAAUGGACAAUGUUCAGUCAUAAAAUUAAACGUACUUUUUAGUAAACACAUCAAAACGCUAAUAGAAAGACAUAUUCUAAAAAAGGAGAGACAUAUGACUAAGUUAAGUUACUAACAAGCAGUAACUGUAAUCUUCAUAUUUCCCUAAUAUUCAAAUUAUCAUAACACUUGUGUAGUUUGCUUGUAAGAGUAAUAAUACUAGGCAUAGUUUUACAUUACAACGUAGAAGGUAGUCUGUCUGAAGUUGAAUAAAAUUAAAUAAGUUUAUUUUUA